rnacentral:tmRNA from 1 species
GGGGGUGACCGGCUUUGACGGUCUGUACCUUGAAAGAUGUGCGACGCAGUGCACUCCCGUUUAACACUUAAAACUGGUCGGGAAACCAAACUUGCCAAGAACACUCUUGCAAGCGUUAAGUCGCCAUACUUCGGUAUGAAGGACUUUUCGUUCGCGUACGCGGUCGCCUAACGGCCACUCGCCUCGCGACGUCCACCCUCCGGGUUUCUACAGCCGAGAGGAUUGGGCGGAAUGGUCUGUAGCAUCGAUACGCGGUCUCCCGCCCGCAGUAUCUAAAUAAGGGAUCGAAUAGGAGUGGUUUCGUCUGCGUUCCUCGCACCCUAUUCUAAAAUUAACGCUGACUAUGCGUCGUAGAUUCGCUUUCUUGGCCAGAUUCGGACUCGGGUUCAAUUCCCGACACUUCCACAU